UUAACACAUGCAAGUCGAACGCGAAGGGACUCGGUCCUGAGUAAGUGGCGGCACGGGUGAGUAACGCGUAGAUAACCUGUCUUCAUGUCUGGAAUAAUACGCCGAAAGGGGUACUAAUACCGGAUAUUCUUGCUUUUCAUAAGUUAUGCAAGCAAAGGUGGCCUCUGCAUAUGCUACUGCAUGAGGAGGGGUCUGCGUACCAUUAGCUAGGUAGGUGGGGUAAUGGCCUACCUAGGCGACGAUGGUUAGCGGGUCUGAGAGGAUGAUCCGCCACACUGGCACUGGAACACGGGCCAGACUCCUACGGGAGGCAGCAGUGAGGAAUAUUGCGCAAUGGGGGAAACCCUGACGCAGCGACGCCGCGUGAGUGAAGGAAGGCCUUCGGGUCGUAAAGCUCUGUCAAGAGGAAAGAAGUGUACAAUGGCUAAUACCUGUUGUAUUUGACGGUACCUCUAAAGGAAGCACCGGCUAACUCCGUGCCAGCCGCUGC
rnacentral:rRNA from 1 species